CUUGGUCAUUUAGAGGAAGUAAAAGUCGUAACAAGGUCUCCGUAGGUGAACCUGCGGAGGGAUCAUUACAAGUGACCCCGGUCUAACCACCGGGAUGUUCAUAACCCUUUGUUGUCCGACUCUGUUGCCUCCGGGGCGACCCUGCCUUCGGGCGGGGGCUCCGGGUGGACACUUCAAACUCUUGCGUAACUUUGCAGUCUGAGUAAACUUAAUUAAUAAAUUAAAACUUUUAACAACGGAUCUCUUGGUUCUGGCAUCGAUGAAGAACGCAGCGAAAUGCGAUAAGUAAUGUGAAUUGCAGAAUUCAGUGAAUCAUCGAAUCUUUGAACGCACAUUGCGCCCCCUGGUAUUCCGGGGGGCAUGCCUGUUCGAGCGUCAUUUCACCACUCAAGCCUCGCUUGGUAUUGGGCAACGCGGUCCGCCGCGUGCCUCAAAUCGACCGGCUGGGUCUUCUGUCCCCUAAGCGUUGUGGAAACUAUUCGCUAAAGGGUGUUCGGGAGGCUACGCCGUAAAACAACCCCAUUUCUAAGGUUGACCUCGGAUCAGGUAGGGAUACCCGCUGAACUUAAGCAUAUCAAUAAGCGGAGGAAAAGAAACCAACAGGGAUUGCUCUAGUAACGGCGAGUGAAGCAGCAAUAGCUCAAAUUUGAAAUCUGGCGUCUUCGACGUCCGAGUUGUAAUUUGUAGAGGAUGCUUCUGAGUAACCACCGACCUAAGCUCCUUGGAACAGGACGUCAUAGAGGGUGAGAAUCCCGUAUGCGGUCGGAAAGGUGCUCUAUACGUAGCUCCUUCGACGAGUCGAGUUGUUUGGGAAU
rnacentral:sRNA from 1 species